rnacentral:rRNA from 1 species
AGUGGCGGACGGGUGAGUAACGCGUGGGUAACCUACCUCAUACAGGGGGAUAACAGUUGGAAACGACCGCUAAUACCGCAUAACCCGCUAGUAUCGCAUGAUACGGACGGAAAAGAUUUAUCGGUAUGAGAUGGACCCGCGUCUGAUUAGCCAGUUGGCAGGGUAAUGGCCUACCAAAGCAACGAUCAGUAGCCGGCCUGAGAGGGUGAACGGCCACAUUGGGACUGAGACACGGCCCAAACUCCUACGGAAGGCAGCAG